ensembl:lncRNA
GCUAAAGCGUUUAAGUUUCAAAAUAGAACAAACGAAACAGACUAAAUUGUCAAUUCCACUUAGAAACAAAAUAUUAAUUCUAAAAAUAAAUCUUAGUUUGUUUUACAGAAGAACAGACAAAAUUGACUAACUUUUGUCAAUAUCAAAUAAACUGAGAACUAAAAGGAAAUUCUCAAUCUCUCCUUGUUGUAUAGCUUAGCUUUUCAAACAGUUUUAACAGUUACUUUAGUCUGACAAAAGCCGAAUGACGAAUUAGCGCUACCAGUCAGAGAUUGAGCAUGCACCGGUUUAUUGUAUUUCCAGACUUGCUUUCGGCACAAUUUAUAGUGCGCGCUACUCUUUUUGUCAGACUUGAAAUAGCCGAAAUACCUUCACACUACGGAACUUCUAUGGCUCUUCCGUUCAACAAUCUCUCCGGCAUUGGAACCAUCAUCGGUUUUUUCUUCGGUAACCUUCGCUCACGCUCUCGGUUGAUUUUUCUCUAGUCGGCACACUCAUUUCCUCCGUUACCCGGGCGGCACGGCGGCUGGCUGCUUCCCAAAACAAAUACACAUGUGUGGCUUGGCACUUGUGCUGUACGUAACAAGUCACGUGACGUGACGCUGCAGCUGUGAUUGGUUCGGCUCUGCACUACUUAAUUUGGAUUGGCUGUUCUUCCUCUUCUUUUUUUUUUUUUUUUUUUUUUUUUAAGAGGACAAGAGCGGUGAGGUCUAUUGCAAUAGUUUAAUUUUUCUAUCGAGAAAAAGUUAUUUCGCAAUACAUAUCGUUAUAUCGCCCAGCUCUACUUAUACCCCCGACUGAGUUUACUGAUGUUGUGGAAUAGGGCUGUUCGAUAUAAUGAUAUAUAUCGGAUGACGAUAUAAAAAUAUCUAUUGUUUCAUUUUAUGCUAUUGUUUGUUUCGUGGUGUCGCAAAAUAAACUGUUCAUGGCAAUAUUUUUUCAUCGUUUUGAUGGUCACUGUAGUGGCUAUCUUAAUUUCUUAAAGUUCUCUCUUUCUCUUAUAUUUAAGCCCUAUUGUGGAAUGUAAUCCUGGCAUUAUUCCUGACUUCACACCACAAGAUUUAUAUCAUUAUGUUAUCAACAAUAACACACAUUAUAUUUGACAAGAUAUGAAGGCCUACAAAAGUUUGAAUGCUUAUCAGUAUUUUGUGGAAAGAUGGGUAACAAACCCAAGUCACUGGACUUUGCCUGGAACUGUAAUCACUGGCUCAAGUGGGCCACAGUCACUGCUCAGGUAUUUUCC